rnacentral:lncRNA from 1 species
CUUGACAGUUUGGGAUACUAUUAUACUCGGCUGGGGUCACACCACGCGAGUGCCACUCCGAAGAUUGGCUGAGAUUGAGACAAGGAUAGUAGCCUACGUGGUAGUGGACCACCAUAAAUAGAUACUGGACACAAAGUGGCGCAGGCUUAACCAGACUUUGAGUCGAUUGGUGUAUGAUUGGGUGUAUUGCAUAUUACUUGGUAAUUUUAGUCGAUGCAUGUAUUUGUAUUAACUAUUUACCAUCUUUCCUUACCUGUUUUAGAGAUAUGUUUGACUUAGUUAUUAUUCAGCUCAUUAUGUCAUAUUACUAUACAGUUUAUUCUUUAUUUUUGCUUGUAGUAGGCCUAGUGGUGUAGGUCGUUAUUGUCGUCAACUGUACCUAUUAGGUAUUACUGUUCAGUAGUUUCCACGCCCUCCAUUUUGUGGUUUUCUAUUUCAGAGCCCUCAGCACCGACUUUGUAUCAAGGUAAGGGAAUCGUGAAGUAGAUA